rnacentral:rRNA from 1 species
GCAAGUCGAACGAUGAAGCCUUUCGGGGUGGAUUAGUGGCGAACGGGUGAGUAACACGUGGGCAAUCUGCCCUUCACUCUGGGACAAGCCCUGGAAACGGGGUCUAAUACCGGAUAACACUCUGUCCCGCAUGGGACGGGGUUAAAAGCUCCGGCGGUGAAGGAUGAGCCCGCGGCCUAUCAGCUUGUUGGUGGGGUAAUGGCCUACCAAGGCGACGACGGGUAGCCGGCCUGAGAGGGCGACCGGCCACACUGGGACUGAGACACGGCCCAGACUCCUACGGGAGGCAGCAGUGGGGAAUAUUGCACAAUGGGCGAAAGCCUGAUGCAGCGACGCCGCGUGAGGGAUGACGGCCUUCGGGUUGUAAACCUCUUUCAGCAGGGAAGAAGCGAAAGUGACGGUACCUGCAGAAGAAGCGCCGGCUAACUACGUGCCAGCAGCCGCGGUAAUACGUAGGGCGCAAGCGUUGUCCGGAAUUAUUGGGCGUAAAGAGCUCGUAGGCGGCUUGUCACGUCGGAUGUGAAAGCCCGGGGCUUAACCCCGGGUCUGCAUUCGAUACGGGCUAGCUAGAGUGUGGUAGGGGAGAUCGGAAUUCCUGGUGUAGCGGUGAAAUGCGCAGAUAUCAGGAGGAACACCGGUGGCGAAGGCGGAUCUCUGGGCCAUUACUGACGCUGAGGAGCGAAAGCGUGGGGAGCGAACAGGAUUAGAUACCCUGGUAGUCCACGCCGUAAACGUUGGGAACUAGGUGUUGGCGACAUUCCACGUCGUC